AUUGAACGCUGGCGGCAGGCCUAACACAUGCAAGUCGAACGGUAACAGGAAGAAGCUUGCUUCUUUGCUGACGAGUGGCGGACGGGUGAGUAAUGUCUGGGAAACUGCCUGAUGGAGGGGGAUAACUACUGGAAACGGUAGCUAAUACCGCAUAACGUCGCAAGACCAAAGAGGGGGACCUUCGGGCCUCUUGCCAUCGGAUGUGCCCAGAUGGGAUUAGCUAGUAGGUGGGGUAACGGCUCACCUAGGCGACGAUCCCUAGCUGGUCUGAGAGGAUGACCAGCCACACUGGAACUGAGACACGGUCCAGACUCCUACGGGAGGCAGCAGUGGGGAAUAUUGCACAAUGGGCGCAAGCCUGAUGCAGCCAUGCCGCGUGUAAGAAGAAGGCCUUCGGGUUGUAAAGUACUUUCAGCGGGGAGGAAGGGAGUAAAGUUAAUACCUUUGCUCAUUGACGUUACCCGCAGAAGAAGCACCGGCUAACUCCGUG
rnacentral:rRNA from 1 species